rnacentral:rRNA from 1 species
UUUCCGGUUGAUCCUGCCGCCGGCCACCGCUAUCAAGUUCCGACUAAGCCAUGCGAGUCAAGGUAUCGUAAGAUGCCGGCAAACUGCUCAGUAACACGUGGAUAAUCUAACCUUGAGUAAGGGAUAACCUCGGGAAACUGAGGAUAAUACCUUAUAAUUGCUUAAAACUGGAAUGUUUAAGCAAUAAAAGUUCCGACGCUCAAGGAUGAGUCUGCGACCUAUCAGGUAGUAGGUGGUGUAAUGGACCACCUAGCCUCAGACGGGUACGGGCCCCGGGAGGGGUAGCCCGGAGAUGGACUCUGAGACAUCAGUCCAGGCCCUACGGGGCGCAGCAGGCGCGAACACUGUGCAAUGCGCGAAAGAGCGACACGGGGAGCUUGAGUGUCUUGGCAUAGCCAAGACUUUUCUCAUUCCUAAAAAGCAUGAGGAAUAAGUGCUGGGUAAGACGGGUGCCAGCCGCCGCGGUAACACCCGCAGCACAAGUGGUGGUCACUUUUAUUGAGCCUAAAGCGUCCGUAGCCGGUUUUGUAAAUCUUCAGAUAAAGACUGAAGCUUAACUCCAGAAAGUCUGAAGAGACUGCAAGACUUGAGAUCGGGUGAGGUUAAACGUACUUUCGGGGUAGGGGUAAAAUCCUGUAAUCCUGGAAGGACGACCAGUGGCGAAAGCGUUUAACUAGAACGAAUCUGACGGUAAGGAACGAAGGCUAGGGUAGCAAACCGGAUUAGAUACCCGGGUAGUCCUAGCUGUAAACAUUGCCCAUUUGAUGUUGCUUUCCCGUUGAGGGAAGGCAGUGUCGGAGCGAAGGUGUUAAAUGGGCCGCUUGGGAAGUAUGGUCGCAAGACUGAAACUUAAAGGAAUUGGCGGGGGAGCACCGCAACGGGAGGAAUGUGCGGUUUAAUUGGAUUCACCGCCGGA